UGCCUUUGGUUGGUAAUGCAAUAGGGUUUUGAAUUUCAGUAGAUUGUUGAUAUUGGCAAAACUCUGCCAUUGUUCAUGGAGCUUCAAACCUUAGGUGACAAGACAUGAAGAACCAUGCUCUGCAAAGUAUCUUGUUUUCAAUGUUGCAGGUGUGUGGCACUUAUUAGAAGCUUCUCCAUGAGAAAGAAGAUGUAUGAACAUGAUGGAGUUUGUAAUUUGUAGUUUAUA